ACGCUGGCGGCGUGCCUAACACAUGCAAGUCGAGCGAAUGAAGUUCCUUCGGGAACGGAUUUAGCGGCGGACGGGUGAGUAACACGUGGGCAACCUACCUCAUAGAGGGGAAUAGCCUUCCGAAAGGGAGAUUAAUACCGCAUAAGAUUGUAGUACCGCAUGGUACAGCAAUUAAAGGAGCAAUCCGCUAUGAGAUGGGCCCGCGGCGCAUUAGCUAGUUGGUGAGGUAACGGCUCACCAAGGCGACGAUGCGUAGCCGACCUGAGAGGGUGAUCGGCCACAUUGGGACUGAGACACGGCCCAGACUCCUACGGGAGGCAGCAGGUGGGAAUAUUGCACAAUGGGGAAACCCUGAUGCAGCAACGCCGCGUGAGUGAUGACGGCCUUCGGGUUGUAAAGCUCUGUCUUCAGGGACGAUAAUGACGGUACCUGAGGAGGAAGCCACGGCUAACUACGUG
rnacentral:rRNA from 1 species